AAGACUAUACUUUCAGGGAUCAUUUCUAUAGUCUGUGACUAGAGAAGUUUCUCUAAUGGGCUGAGUAGACUCCAAAUCCCCCAAACGGGG
rnacentral:snoRNA from 1 species